GAUGAACGCUGGCGGCGUGCCUAAUACAUGCAAGUCGAGCGAACGGACGAGAAGCUUGCUUCUCUGAUGUUAGCGGCGGACGGGUGAGUAACACGUGGAUAACCUACCUAUAAGACUGGGAUAACUUCGGGAAACCGGAGCUAAUACCGGAUAAUAUUUUGAACCGCAUGGUUCAAAAGUGAAAGACGGUCUUGCUGUCACUUAUAGAUGGAUCCGCGCUGCAUUAGCUAGUUGGUAAGGUAACGGCUUACCAAGGCAACGAUGCAUAGCCGACCUGAGAGGGUGAUCGGCCACACUGGAACUGAGACACGGUCCAGACUCCUACGGGAGGCAGCAGUAGGGAAUCUUCCGCAAUGGGCGAAAGCCUGACGGAGCAACGCCGCGUGAGUGAUGAAGGUCUUCGGAUCGUAAAACUCUGUUAUUAGGGAAGAACAUAUGUGUAAGUAACUGUGCACAUCUUGACGGUACCUAAUCAGAAAGCCACGGCUAACUACGUGCCAGCAGCCGCGGUAAUACGUAGGUGGCAAGCGUUAUCCGGAAUUAUUGGGCGUAAAGCGCGCGUAGGCGGUUUUUUAAGUCUGAUGUGAAAGCCCACGGCUCAACCGUGGAGGGUCAUUGGAAACUGGAAAACUUGAGUGCAGAAGAGGAGAGUGGAAUUCCAUGUGUAGCGGUGAAAUGCGCAGAGAUAUGGAGGAACACCAGUGGCGAAGGCGACUUUCUGGUCUGUAACUGACGCUGAUGUGCGAAAGCGUGGGGAUCAAACAGGAUUAGAUACCCUGGUAGUCCACGCCGUAAACGAUGAGUGCUAAGUGUUAGGGGGUUUCCGCCCCUUAGUGCUGCAGCUAACGCAUUAAGCACUCCGCCUGGGGAGUACGACCGCAAGGUUGAAACUCAAAGGAAUUGACGGGGACCCGCACAAGCGGUGGAGCAUGUGGUUUAAUUCGAAGCAACGCGAAGAACCUUACCAAAUCUUGACAUCCUUUGACAGCUCUAGAGAUAGAGCCUUCCCCUUCGGGGGGGCAAAGUGACAGGUGGUGCAUGGUUGUCGUCAGCUCGUGUCGUGAGAUGUUGGGUUAAGUCCCGCAACGAGCGCAACCCUUAAGCUUAGUUGCCAUCAUUAAGUUGGGCACUCUAAGUUGACUGCCGGUGACAAACCGGAGGAAGGUGGGGAUGACGUCAAAUCAUCAUGCCCCUUAUGAUUUGGGCUACACACGUGCUACAAUGGACAAUACAAAGGGCAGCGAAGCCGCGAGGUCAAGCAAAUCCCAUAAAGUUGUUCUCAGUUCGGAUUGUAGUCUGCAACUCGACUACAUGAAGCUGGAAUCGCUAGUAAUCGUAGAUCAGCAUGCUACGGUGAAUACGUUCCCGGGUCU
rnacentral:rRNA from 1 species